ensembl:lncRNA novel transcript
GAGAACUCUGGGGCUGGUGCUAGCUCCUCUAGGUUCAGCAUGACCCACAGCUAAGCAGAGGAGCGGAAGGAUGGUUAUGGAGAGUGGAAGUCCUAGACAAGAAUGAACAGUUUACAGCCACUUGUAGAACUGUCUGUCUCUUUCCAGUAUCUGAACUUUGACGAUCUCAAAGGGCAUCUCUGGGAAUUUUUGAGUGUCAGCGUGCCACUCAAAGGGUGGCGGGAGGGGCACCUAGCAGUCAGUGCAGCAAGGCAGACAGGACCCGCAUGCCAGCACCCUGCCUGUCUGAUGACACUGAUUCCGAAAGGGCACUUUCUCAUCUAUUUCCUGCUUUGGAAAAGGGCACUCCGGUCAUUCCAGUCACCGAAACAAGAGAUUUUGGAAAUUCAUGCCGGGCAGAGUGCUGGGCAUGGGGAAUUUGGUGGCUGGCAAGACAAGCCGCUUCUGUCCUCAAGGCCUGACUCUGAGGCCAAACCAUCACUGAGUCAGGGCCCCCAGAGCCCUGCAUGUUGACCACCGUGUGGAUGGACACCAUGUGGAUGGCCUCUUUCAACAUCUUCUAACUCAGCUUUCUCCUGCAGCCAGUGAGCUCUCUCCAGAGAUAAGUGCAGUCAUGCCCUUACCAUCUAAUACACAGCAGUUUUUCAUCACUGACAGAAAAUGUACAACCUUAACCCAUCAUGACUUACAGCCCUCCAUGUCUGAUCGUAGCCCCAAACACACCAUACCUUUCACAUCCGCACUGCAUCCCUGCAUUGUACCACCAGCCAGCCACCUUCCUCCUCCCUUACCCGCUGGGGGAUUUGCACAGUCGCUGUAGACCCCAGCCUCUGUGUGACCACUACUUUGAAGACUUCCUCCUUCACCCUCUUAGGAAUUUAGCCUUUCUCACCUAAUAUUUGUCUCCGCUCAUUGAACAUGAAGUCAUGGUUUCUAUGCUGGUUGUUAUUCUUUCUGUUAUUUACAGUGUUUUUUUUGUUGUUGUUGUUUUUUUUUAAGAAAAGAGUGUGUUAGAAAUACUUUAUACACACCACAUAAACUUGAAGUCUCUCUGAAGAAACGUUUAUGGUUUAGAAAUUUAUGAUACGAGGUUUAAGAUAGUCUAUUUCAUCUGAUGUUUUGCCUUUUUCUCAUGUCAAGUGUUACCUCACUGUUAUGAAUGUUGCCACACUGGCUUUAUAUAGCCACCAUCUAUCACUCUUCUGUUUGUUUAGUAAACAUCUAUCUCCAUCUAUCUGUUAUCUAUACUCUAUGAAUCUAUUGCCUAUCUGCCAGUCACCUCUCAUCUACCUAUCCAUCUCAAUGUUUGUUUUGACUCAUUUGAAAAUAAGUUGUCAACCUCACAACCACAAGAAAAAGAAAUCUUGCUUCCAUCUCAAUCCCUUUUGUAACCAUUGUUAUUGAUCUCAUGUAUCUUAGCAAUAAUUCUUUUUUUGCAAUAAUAAGCAAAUUUGUUUUCUAA